AUUGAACGCUGGCGGCAGGCCUAACACAUGCAAGUCGAGCGGAUGAAGGGAGCUUGCUCCUGGAUUCAGCGGCGGACGGGUGAGUAAUGCCUAGGAAUCUGCCUGGUAGUGGGGGACAACGUUUCGAAAGGAACGCUAAUACCGCAGACGUCCUACGGGAGAAAGCAGGGGACAUUCGGGCCUUGCGCUAUCAGAUGAGCCUAGGUCGGAUUAGCUAGUUGGUGAGGUAAUGGCUAACCAAGGCGACGAUCCGUAACUGGUCUGAGAGGAUGAUCAGUCACACUGGAACUGAGACACGGUCCAGACUCCUACGGGAGGCAGCAGUGGGGAAUAUUGGACAAUGGGCGAAAGCCUGAUCCAGCCAUGCCGCGUGUGUGAAGAAGGUCUUCGGAUUGUAAAGCACUUUAAGUUGGGAGGAAGGGUUGUAGAUUAAUACUCUGCAAUUUUGACGUUACCGACAGAAUAAGCACCGGCUAACUCUGUGCCAGCAGCCGCGGUAACAC
rnacentral:rRNA from 1 species